rnacentral:lncRNA from 1 species
GUGUCCCGCAGGUGUUCAGUGGAGUCUCCGGGCAGGAGUUCUCAGCACAGAGGCAGCUGCUGUAGUUCCCGCAGCGGAUCCGUCUCCUCCACCGCCAGCAUCUCCAAAUCACCCAGCAGAUCAAGUGCAAAGUGCAGGAACGACAGGCACAAACAGGAAGGAAGUCACUCCAGCCACAGCCCACCGCCGUCCCCCACCACUGACCAGCCAAUCACGUGGCAGAAUGGGAACCACAGCAUCCGUGUACGCAAUGGCAAAGAUUCAGAAGCCAAUCACACGGAGGGGAAUAAAGGGAACGAUCACUCAUAUGAUUUGGAACUGGACCGAGUAGAUUAAAUGGUGGAAGGUAGGUAACGCUCUGCCUACGCACGUGGAGAAUGUGACAAGCACCCUAGCUUGACAUCAGUGUCUCUCUCUCUCUUUUUCCCUUUGUUUAUCUGAGGAAAACCAAAGGUUGGCGGGUUGUUUUCAUUGCUUUCUUUUUAGAAAUGUUUGCUCUAUUUUCAUUCUUUUUUUUUGUUUCAAUCUGAAAUCUACCUUUGCUUUCAUGCUUCAGUCUUCAGUACACUGCCCUCCCCACAGGUCCAUCUCUUGUCUGCAUUUUAUUUGAUUUUUCUUAUUAUUUUUUGGUAGAAUGCAUUUCCUGUCUGUGCCGCAUUCCUUUUGUCUUUGGUGAAAUGGUACGUGUCAUAUGAUUUGGUCACUUUCCCUUUUUAUUUUUUGGAUACACAAGGGCUGUUUCUGAAGUAUCUGGGGUUUACGUUCAGCUGU